rnacentral:rRNA from 1 species
GGACGAACGCUGGCGGCGUGCCUAAAACAUGCAAGUCGAACGGUUCCAGCAAUGGGACAGUGGCGAACGGCGGAGUAAUACGCGAGCAACGUGCCCCGAAGACUGGGAUAGUCGGCCGAAAGGCCGGGUAAUACCGGAUGUGGCGUUUAGAUCGCCUGAUCUUAACGUUAAAAGGUUUUUCGCUUCGGGAGCGGCUCACGGCCUAUCAGGUAGUUGGUGGGGUAACGGCCUACCAAGCCUACGACGGGUAGCGGGUCGUGAGAGGAUGGUCCGCUCGA